UACAAAGGUCUCAAGCGUUGUUCGGAUUCAUUGGGCGUAAAGGGUGCGUAGGCGGCGCGGUAAGUCGGGUGUGAAAUCUCGGGGCUUAACUCCGAAACUGCAUUCGAUACUGCCGUGCUUGAGGACUGGAGAGGAGACUGGAAUUUACGGUGUAGCGGUGAAAUGCGUAGAUAUCGUAAGGAAGACCAGUGGCGAAGGCGGGUCUCUGGACAGUUCCUGACGCUGAGGCACGAAGGUCAGGGGAGCAAACGGG
rnacentral:rRNA from 1 species